AUCCAGAAGGUGGAGUAGAAGUCAAUACCCUCUAACAAAUAAUCGAUUUCAAUGUCUGUGAUUUCAAUUAUAAAAUCCUACUCGCGAUUACUUGGGGAUUUAGGGUUGCGGUUUACUUCAGCCGGUUCCUAUUGUGAUUCCUGGUGAUGAUAGUGUGGCCGCGGUGAUGAAGUAGAAGAUGUCUCAGUUUGCUAAUAAGAUUGCUCGUUAAAUUUAUUAUCUAUUUUGUGAGUUGAAUUGGAGACAAAGAAGUUAACAUACACGGGUAUAGAUUUUGUUUUUUACAAGCAUGUAAAUGAUGGUUCUGGAUUGAAAGCUCCUCUUAUUGCUGAUGAUGUUUAUGAUAUAA